rnacentral:rRNA from 1 species
UACGGAGGGUGCGAGCGUUGUCCGGAAUCACUGGGCGUAAAGGGCGCGUAGGUGGCGCGAGUGGUCAACGGUGAAAGCCCGGGGCUCAACCCCGGGUCGGCCGUCGAUACUCUCGUGCUUGAGCACUGUAGAGGCAGGUGGAAUUCCGGGUGUAGCGGUGGAAUGCGUAGAGAUCCGGAAGAACACCGGUGGCGAAGGCGGCCUGCUGGGCAGUAGCUGACACUGAGGCGCGACAGCGUGGGGAGCAAACAGG